GCUGGAAUAGCUCAGUCGGUAGAGCAUGAGACAUUUAAUCUCAGCGUUGUGGAUUCAAGCGCACCUUGGGCA